AACGAACGCUGGCGGCAGGCCUAACACAUGCAAGUCGAGCGCCCCGCAAGGGGAGCGGCGGACGGGUGAGUAACGCGUGGGAACGUACCCUUUGCUACGGAAUAGCCUCGGGAAACUGGGAGUAAUACCGUAUGUGCCCUUCGGGGGAAAGAUUUAUCGGCAAAGGAUCGGCCCGCGUUGGAUUAGGUAGUUGGUGGGGUAAUGGCCUACCAAGCCGACGAUCCAUAGCUGGUUUGAGGGGAUGAUCAGCCACACUGGGACUGAGACACGGCCCAGACUCCUACGGGAGGCAGCAGUGGGGAAUCUUAGACAAUGGGCGCAAGCCUGAUCUAGCCAUGCCGCGUGAGCGAUGAAGGCCUUAGGGUUGUAAAGCUCUUUCAGUGGGGAAGAUAAUGACUGUACCCAGAAGGAAGCACGGGCUAAGUUCGUGCCAGCAGCCGCGGUAAU
rnacentral:rRNA from 1 species